UGGGGAAUAUUGGACAAUGGGCGCAAGCCUGAUCCAGCAAUGCCGCGUGUGUGAAGAAGGUCUUCGGAUUGUAAAGCACUUUCGACGGGGACGAUGAUGACGGUACCCGUAGAAGAAGCCCCGGCUAACUUCGUGCCAGCAGCCGCGGUAAUACGAAGGGGGCUAGCGUUGCUCGGAAUGACUGGGCGUAAAGGGCGCGUAGGCGGAUUGUACAGUCAGGUGUGAAAUUCCCGGGCUUAACCUGGGGGCUGCACUUGAUACGUAGGAUCUGGAGUGAGGAAGAGGGUCGUGGAAUUCCCAGUGUAGAGGUGAAAUUCGUAGAUAUUGGGAAGAACACCGGUGGCGAAGGCGGCGACCUGGUCCUUUUACUGACGCUGAGGCGCGAAAGCGUGGGGAGCAAACAG
rnacentral:rRNA from 1 species